rnacentral:lncRNA from 1 species
UGCGAAGGCAUUUUAUUUAAGACAAUAAAUGAAUUUAGUAAAAGCAGGAUAUUUAAUGAUGUAAAUAUGAUAAACAUCAGGGGCUAAAAAGUCAAUUACAUGAAGUAAUGACACUGACGAACUGCUUUUAGUAAAUUGCAGAAAUUAAAGGGACUAAAAACUAAUUCAAACUAAUAUUUAAAAAGCUAACGGUAAAUAAAAACUAAUAAAAGUGGUGGUGGGCCAAAAUGUUGAAUUUCAGCCCACCACCGGAUGGAGGCGCGUCGGCCUGCGGGGAGGAGAGCCGGCCUUGGGCUGAGCCAGGUUGGGCCGCUGCCUGCCAUGGGCCAAGCCGGCCUGGNN